UACAGAGGUCUCAAGCGUUGUUCGGAUUCACUGGGCGUAAAGGGUGCGCAGGUGGGUUUGCAAGUUCGAUGUGAAAGCCCCGGGCUUAACCCGGGAAUGGCAUUGGAUACUGCAGAUCUGGAGGAUCGGAGGGGGGGACUGGAAUUCUUGGUGUAGCAGUGAAAUGCGUAGAUAUCAAGAGGAACACCAGUGGCGAAGGCGAGUCCCUGGACGGUACCUGACACUGAGGCACGAAAGCUAGGGGAGCAAACAGG
rnacentral:rRNA from 1 species